UGGCGGACGGGUGAGUAAUGUCUGGGAAACUGCCUGAUGGAGGGGGAUAACUACUGGAAACGGUAGCUAAUACCGCAUAACGUCGCAAGACCAAAGAGGGGGACCUUAGGGCCUCUUGCCAUCGGAUGUGCCCAGAUGGGAUUAGCUAGUAGGUGGGGUAACGGCUCACCUAGGCGACGGUCCCUAGCUGGUCUGAGAGGAUGACCAGCCACACUGGAACUGAGACACGGUCCAG
rnacentral:rRNA from 1 species